rnacentral:rRNA from 1 species
UACGAAGGGGGCAAGCGUUACUCGGAAUUACUGGGCGUAAAGCGUGCGUAGGUGGUUUGGUAAGUCUGGCGUGAAAGCCCCGGGCUCAACCUGGGAAUGGCGAUGGAUACUGGCGAGCUAGAGUACGGUAGAGGAGAGUGGAAUUCCCAGUGUAGCAGUGAAAUGCGUAGAGAUCGGGAGGAACAUCAGUUGCGAAGGCGGCUCUCUGGACCAGUACUGACGCUGAGGCACGAAAGCGUGGGGAGCAAACAGG